AAACUAAUUGCUUGUAUUUUUGACAAUGGAACCAACUUGCUACAAGAAUAUCUUCUGGAAAUUGGAUGUUAAUGAAAAAUCAGGACAUCCCUGCUGGUUCAGUAGACUGUGGAGUAGACACGUUGAUGGUAUUUGAAUAUGAACUGAGAGCAGGCUGGCUGUGUGGCUGAAGAAGGGCAGC